AUUCAAAUAGCUUAUAUUAGAGCGUGACACUGAAGAUGUUAAAGAGAUUAUUUUAAUCUUUGGAUA
rnacentral:tRNA from 1 species